CAGUUUAGCACCCCCAAAUCCCACUUCCUUAAGGCAAGGCUCAUAUUCUAUAUAAAAUGCCAGCUGGCCAGAGAUUUCUCACCAGACCCAGGAGACCAGACAACUCAAACGUUUCUUCACAUCAGGUCCAGCCUUCUUUAAAGCAUGAGUUCCUACCAGCAGAAACAGCCUUUCACCCCACCCCCAGAGCCUGAGCAGCAGCAGGUGAAGCAGCCCUGCCAGCCUCCACCUCCACCUCAGGAACCAUUUGUUCCCAUAAUUGAGGAGCCAUGCCUUCCAAAGGUUCCACAGCUGGACGACACCAAGGUUCCCGAGCAAGGCUAUUCCACACUUCCGGAGCCACGUCCCAUCAAAGAUCCGGAGCCAGUCUACACCAAUGUCCCUCAGCCUGGAAAUACCAAGGUGCCUGAGGCAUGCUCCUCAUUGGUCAUUCCAGGCCCAAACCAGAAGAAGGACAACCAGAAGUAACGUGGUCCACAGCUAUGCUCUUGAGGAACCAACCUCCAGAUAUUGAACACCUUCUCCCCUUUUGUUUCUCUGUCUUCAUUUUGUAGAUCUUGCAAUGAGUAUUUUCUCUCCCUGAGUCAUAGCCUCUCUUGUUUGCAUCCUAAAAAUAUGUGCUAUGAGGUUUUCCUUACUCUGAACAGUCCUCUGAGUUCUGAGUUCUGCAGAAGGCCUUAGCAGCUUUACUGAUUCUCAGUUGCUUGGGGUUUAUCUGAGGGGAGAACCUGGAUUUGAAGAAAUACCUCUUUCCCUUUCUACCUCUAUUAAAACACUUUAAAGCACA